CGUCCGGCGACCGGCGCACGGGUGAGUAACACGUAUGCAACCUACCUUUAACAGGGGAUAACACUGAGAAAUUGGUACUAAUACCCCAUAAUAUCAUAGAAGGCAUCUUUUAUGGUUGAAAAUUCCGAUGGUUAGAGAUGGGCAUGCGUUGUAUUAGCUAGUUGGUGGGGUAACGGCUCACCAAGGCGACGAUACAUAGGGGGACUGAGAGGUUAACCCCCCACACUGGAACUGAGACACGGUCCAA
rnacentral:rRNA from 1 species